rnacentral:lncRNA from 1 species
GCGGCAUAUGGAGGUUCCCAGGCUAGGGGUCGAAUCAGAGCUGUAGCUGCCAGCCUCCACCACAGCCACAGCAAUGUGGGAUCCGAGCGGCGUCUGCGACCUACACCACAGCUCACGGCAACGCCAGAUCCUUAACCCACUGAGCGAGGCCAGGGAUCGAACUCACAACCUCAUGGUUCCUAGUCGGAUUCGUUAACCACUGAGCCACGACGGGAACUCCCAAGCCUAUCAUUUUCUUAGAAUGAAGGAACACAGUUUCAAGCUUAAAACACUAUGACGACGACAAAUGCUCUGCAUAGGCAAUUGUAUAGUUUUGUUUAAAAAAUUAAAUCGCCUUUGGAAAAGUUCCUCCCUUAAGAAAAACAUUUAAGGAAAAAAUAAGAUCUGUUCUCCCCCUAAAGACAGAAACACACACAUAUACACACACCAUCAAAUUCAUCUGUACCAUACUUCUGAAUUUUUGUUAUUAUUUAACACUUACUAAGUUUCCAUUUAGGGCCAAAUUUGGUGUCAUUUUCUCCAACUGGAAUUCAGCAAUAUGUGUAACAACAAGAAAACACAUGCCAAUCCUUUGACAAGGUACUAUUUUCCAUACUUGACAGAUUAGACAAUAAUCUGUAACUGACCUGAGAGCAGCAGCCCUAUCAGUGGUACAGUUGGUUACAGGACCAGGACUGUGAACCACAGUACAAUUACCAGCUUCGUUCAGUUCCAUCACCCCCCAAGGUCUUGACAUCUCACAGACUCUGAACCCGCUGAAAAAUUCUUCCUCCCCACUUCCCUUCCUCUGCCCUUCCUGCUGGACUGGAUUCUAGUCACUUAACAAGUUUCGGCUUAAACUACCCAGCAGAGGGGCCUUUGGGGACUAUCCUGGUAAAAGGUGUUUUUUUUUUUUUUUUUUUUUUUUUUUUUGCUAUUUCUUGGGCCGCUCCCACGGCAUAUGGAGGUUCCCAGGCUAAGGGUCUAAUCAGAGCUGUAGCCGCCGGCCUAUGCCAGAGCCACAGCAACGCGGGAUCCGAGCCGAGUCUGCAACCUACACCACAGCUCAUGGCAACGCCGAAUCCUUAACCCUCUGAGCAAGGGCAGGGACCGAACCCGCAACCUCAUGGUUCCCAGUCGGAUUCGCUAACCACUGCGUCAUGAUGGGAACUCCAGACCCUAGGUUUUAAGGCCAUGUUCCACCCUGGUAAACACGGGGCCUAGCAUAGGUGUUCCUGGUACACAGCUGGCCCUCAAAUAUUUGCUCAAUGAAUAGCCUGCAUUUAUUUACUAUCUACCAAAUGCCAGGUUGUGGGCACUGGCUAGCAGCUGAUACAAGAACAGUUAAG